CGGCCUCAUCACGUUAAGACACCGUCUCCCGUACAAACACUGAAGUUAAGCAACGUUGUGCUUGGUCUGUACUUAGAUGGCUGACCGCUUGGGAAUAACAGGUACUGUAAG